GAUAGGCAGUCGCUCCUUUUAACCUUUCGUGUGAUUGACCCACGCUCGUAAUAAUUACCGUCGUAUGCACGGCCGAAAUGAAAUGGCGCGAGGAAGCGGCGAGCGUUCCUUUGUAUGUGUGUGUAAGCAUUUUAAAUUUCGCGCCAUAACAUAGACCGGUGAUACAGGAUGUUUAUUUUUGAUUGUUGAAAAAUCUUUAAUGCUGGAUUAGAAAUAAAAAACGUGUACAAAAU